UUUAUACUCCCUCGUCCGAAAAUACUUGUCAUCAAAAUCGAUAAAAAAAAGAUGUAUCUAGAACUAAAAUACAUCUAGAUACAUCCCCUUUUAUCCAUUUUGGUGACAACUAUUUUCGGACAGAGGGAGUACUCA
rfam:Triticum urartu cultivar G1812 contig735622, whole genome shotgun sequence.